rnacentral:lncRNA from 1 species
CGAAAAUUACAUAGUUUCUUCGUCCAAACACCUCGAAUUCCAGAAUUUUCCCGUAAUUCUAGAAUACUCAAUUAUCCCUAAUUUCCUUAUUUUUAUUAAUGAAAAAACUUUAUUCAUGCUGAAUCUUGCUUGAUGUUGGAACUUUAGAAAAAAUAAAUUAAACACCCAAAAAUACUCAAUUUCAAAAUACAUUUUAUAUUUCUUAAAUUAUUCUGUGUUUCAAAAUAUACAUCUAUGAAGUGUUGUUGAUUUAUUUCCCACUUCUUGAUCAUUAAAAAGGACUUUGAUUACUCUAUGUCUUGGCUUGGUCAAGAAGACUUCGAUCCUUAGAUGUUUCUAGCACCUUUUUGCACCAAUGCUCCACAUAUCUCUUGUAUUACCUUUUUAGUUAAAAUAGAAGAACAGAGUAGUAAACUGCAAAUACAACUUAAAUAAAAAUAUAUCUUUAUUGAAUAAAACAUUAUUAAAAAUACUAUGAAUUAUUGAGUUUUCACCUUUUCUAUUCACAACACCCCUAAUAUUCCAUGAGAUGCUGCAAGCAUCCAUAAAUAACCUUAUAGGAAUAAAGGGAAAGUAUGGUAGACACACUAGGUUGUUUCCAUAGAGCUAAAGUCCCAUGUGUUCUCCUUAGCGCCUUAGCGCUAGAGAUACUUAUUGAUGCCAUAAUAUUCCAUGAAUUUUCUUGUCAUGGAUCAAGUUACCACACAUGAUGGGUCAUGUUCUUCAAGGCUAACAAUAUUAUUUGAUCUCUCAUGCUUGUGACCAUCAUCGGAAGGGACAUAUUUAAUAUUAAAAAAUUUACUUUCUGGUGUGCAAAGGGAAUGGCUUGGUGGAAGAGGUUAAUAGGUGGUUAAUGUGAGGUGAGGGACUAGAUCAAGAGCUAGGUAGAGAAGUGGGUGGAAUGAUUUUGUGUUUGGCUUGUUUAAAUGUAGCAUGUAUGAUAUUAGCAUGACGUAAAUUAACACU